AAGAACCAGCAUCAUUUUCCAUGAUACCUGAGAAGCUGUGCAUUCCACCCACCCUGCUGACCUAGUAACUAUCAGAGAGAGUGAUAGCUGUAACUUCACAGGCUGUAAUAUCUUCCAGAGGGGCAGGAGAGGAAGGAAACAAGGAAGAGGAUCAAUAAAUACAAAUUACCACUGUGAAAAUAAAGAACUUCAGUAAGAGCGGCCAGACAAAGCCCCAGACUGGUACCAUUUAAUAUCAUCAGAGAAAUAAUUGUGGAAGGAAUUAAAGGAGUACACCCAGUCACGAUGAAAUUGGACUAGAGUUGUGUGGGUGAAAAGAAACCUGUCCUUCAAAGUGAGAAGAAGUUGAAGGUACACCAACCGUCAUCACUGUUCAAGCAAUUCAGAGCAUCUGGUUCGAUGGAUGCAGAGGAAGGUGAUUUAUUGUAGAGGGACGAUUCAGAAACUGAAAGCUCCACAUUAGACCCAGCAUCGGAGCCUUACCAUAGGGACCAUGCCAAAGAAACCCAACAUGAAUCGAUGGACUCUUCAUGUGUAAUCAACUAGGUAAAAACAAUGACUGCAGAUGCUGGAAACCAGAUUCUGGAUUAGUGGUGCUGGAAGAGCACAG